rfam:Dipodomys ordii contig_60522, whole genome shotgun sequence.
GGGAAUGUGGCUCAGUGGUACAGUGCUUGCCUAGCAUGCAUGAAGCCCCAGGUUUGAUUCCUCAGUACCA